AGUAAUUUCCAUAAGCUUUCUUCCUGCGUAUGAGAGGCUCUCGGUUUCCACUAACCCGUGUGAUUCCUCUCAUUUCUUCAAGCCGAUCCCUUUCAGUUGUGAACCCAAGCUUUCCAUCGAAGAUCCUCAUGGGAAUCGACCCCAAAUUUCUGUUGUGUUCCAGCCCCAAAUAUUUCGGAUUCUCUUCCUCUUCUCGUUGCGUGUGUUUCCAUGGCUUCUAAAAGGACCCAAACAGGUAUGAACGAUGAGGCUGUGGUGCCGGGUGCUGCUGAGGAGGGAGGGGCUGAGGUUUAGAGUUCUCGGUUGGUUUGAUUUGGAGGACAAUGAUUAUGUUUUCUUUAU